AACCUUACCUGGCAGGGGAGAUACCAUGAUCGUGAAGGUGGUUUUCCCAGGGAGAGGCUUAUCCAUUCCAUCCUGGAGGUGCUGAACCUGUGAUUUCUCCAAGUGUGGAAAACUCAACUGCAUAAUUUGUGGUAGGAUACUGCACCCAUGCUCUUCUCUG
ensembl:snRNA U1 U1 spliceosomal RNA